GUUUCGGUGGCGCCGGCGUUGAUCGUGGUUUUUCUGUGGUGGAUGUUGUUGAUGGUCGCUUGUCGAAAGACUCAACUUAGUAAUUGUCGCGAGAUUCCUCGUGUUACGUUGACUUUGUGCCUUCCGGAUGACCGAAGAUCGUUCCGCUCCUCCAGAAUCGGAAUUAUGGCGAAUUCGUGGUUGGUCAGAUAUCGUGCGCGGAACCAACCUACAAGAUGUCGGGAUUUUCCAUCCGAUUCGUGAUUACAUGGAUCUUCUACAACCACUAAGAGGUAUAUUAAUAAAGGAUUUGGUGGAUUCGGAGUUUGAGAUUUUUUGUAAAAGAUCUCGUAUCUGAGUGCUCUGGCUUAAGGUAUUUUGAUUGGGUUGAUUCUUGAUGGGGCUAAUACCGGAACAGGUUGUAUUGGUAAGAUCGUUUAGGUAUUUUAUGUGGUUAUUGGAUCUGGUUGAUAUAUUUGGAGGUAUGGUUGCGAGGGGUGUGUGUAAGUGAUUGUUCUGAUGUUAGCUCUUGUUUAUGGACCUUUGCCAUGUCAGGUGCGCUUGCAUGGCAGGUCCGAAAAGCGUUAAUAAAAUGGUUAUUUUUUUUGUUUGGGGGAGGGUAGGAGUCGGGGCUUUUAUUGGUAGUUUUUUCCCCGAUUCUUUUCCCUCUCCCCGUGGUGUUGUGUUUUCCCCUUUCCCUUUCUCUUCCUUAGUCUCUCUGCUCUGCCCUCUGAAUUUUUUUAUAUAUUCUGGUUCGCUUACUGCUUAUCGGCUCAACAAAACGACAAAACGAUUGGCUACUCGGCAAGGUACAUAGUGCUGAAUGCACACUUUAAUUCAUUUUAAUUUCGUUGUUUAUGAAUUUACUCUUCGAGUUUGCAAUACAUAAUUAACACUAUUCCAUGCAUCUAAAUCAAUUAAUAGGGCGGUUUUAUUGAAUCUUAAUUAACAUUUAAGUCAUUGCUACAAUUUAUGCAUACUUUAAUUAUUUCUUGACCGUAUGUUUUAUAAUUUCGCAAAUAAAUUAUUUGUUUAAGCAUAUAUACUCUGCCCUACUGUGAUUUGUAAUUCACAUCAAUAGAAUUGAUUUGAAGGGGGUUUCCAAUAAAUUAAUAACUAAGGAAUUUAUAAACUUCAUCGAAGGAGAUUUGAACAAUGUAAAUUGCACCUUUUAGUUCUGUGGUUUUAUAAACUUUAACUUGAUUGAUUAAAGUUAAUUUAUUAAACUGAGGCACAGCAUGAUUUUUAAUAUUUGUUCCAAAUUUAUAUAUUAUUCAACAAUUGAAUCAAAGUGGCUUUGGAAUUACAAUAAAAAAUGUGCAAAUGUUUCUUUGAGAGCUCAUGCAUAUAUUAACAAUUGAAUCAAAGUGCCUUUGGAUUCACGAUAUAAUAGUUUGCGAAUGUUUAUAUUUUCUGUUGAGCGCACAUGCACAUCAACUAGUUCAUUUAUAUCAGAUGCAGUACUUAAACUUAUUUUUUCAUUUUUUUUAGUUAUAUAUAUUUAUAUUUUAAACUUAUCUUAAAGUUUUUAUCUAUAAAUACCAGUCAAUGUCUCCUCGUAGAAUCCUGCAUGUAUUGUGAUAAUCUCGUAGGUUAGGGUGAUGUCUUACUGCAAUUGUAUUAUGGAGCUAUUAUUGGCUAACAUUUGUACUUUAGUUCUGUUUAGGAUCAUUGGGAUUUUGUUGUAUUUUUAUGUUUAAAAAAUCUGCCGUGGUACACGAGUCAGUGAUCAUAGAUUGCUGUAAACACCUGUGCCUAGUGUAGCUUUAAGGUUCCUUAUAUCUGCAGUAUUCUGCUUUGGAUCAGCAUCAAUAUUGGCCUUUGUCAAGAACUGUGCGACUGGCCUCUUACAUGUUCCUUUGGAGUCUAGAUAUAGUAUUUGAAAAGGAGUCUGAGAUCAUGCAGAGGAUGAAUGUACGUGUUAUUUUGCGAAGCGGGGAAGGAUCUUCAGACUUGGAGGUAAUAUGGGUUGAUCUCGGACCAUUACAUCUUAUGGGUUAGAUAUCAAUCUUCUAUCACUUGAAAAUUUCGAUCCACGUCGAGGCUAUUUAUCUAGAGAUUUGACUUUGGUGCUUCAUCAAAUCAUGCUGGAUCAACGACAAGCCACAGUGCAUUAUAAUCAAACGAUUGUUUUAUGUUCGGUCAUGUAACGUCGACCUUAAUGGUCACGUCUUUUAUAUUUGGCGACAUCUUCGGGGAUCUGUAUACUGUUGACGAAAUCCUGAAGUUGGUGGUUGUUCUCAACUUCUCCUAUCCUUGAUCAUUGUUAUUGAAAAUUAUCCUCGUUGUUCUGUAUUCAUGGGAAAAAUAUUUGUCUCUGGUUUGUUCUCUACUCCAUUUUUUAACUAUGAACAUGCUGAAACAGUUUUUUCCAGGUAUUUUUGUAAAUGUUUUCAUGUAGAUCUUUUGGUGCGGUUUGGCCAAUAAUCCCGCUACUUAGUGUUAGUUUUGGUGUUUUACUACUCUUGUUUCACAACAUAUUGGUUUAUAAUUGGUUCUCAGAAUUCGGUUUCGUCGUUAUAUUUUGUGAAUCAGAUUUUGUGGGAAGAUGUGAUGGAUUAUCAGUUUGAUCCUCCUGGUCUGUAAGUUAAUUGAUUGAAUAUUGUUUCGAUAAAAUAAUAAAUUAAUUCUCAGGGAGGACCAUAUGAUCUGAAAUUGAAUAUUCAUUUAGUAAUUGACUGUUUAAUGUUUCCUAGUCUUGUGUGCUCGACAAGUGUAUGAUUCAAAUCACUUUAAGAACAUCCGUUUUAUUGAAGUAGUUUGUUACUUAAGUUGAGGAGUUACUACUGUUUUUUCCUCCUCAUUUUGCUUUUUCAGUUUACCUUUAUUAAUUUCGAAAAUCCUUUUUCUUGAUUUGUGGUUUGACAUCUAAAUAAUUUAAUUUCAUGAAGUAUUUUACAAUAUUUUGGCUUAUAAACUUGGUAUGCAACCAUCUCAAGGAUACAAUUGAUCCACUAGCUCGAAUCGGAACGAGCACCCAAUUGCUGUUGCAUAUGGGAAGUUGGUGGUUCGAAUCCACCUGGAUCCGCCAACACAUGUGACAUUAAAAUUUACUCGCCUUUUUUUAGAAUAAUAUAAGCUGUGUGUAUCUUCAUGGGAUAAGUCUAUAGAAAAAAAAAAUAGCUUACACAUUCAAAUGGGUUUAGUCUCCAAGAAAACUGAUGACAUCCAUUUAGCUAUUGAGAUAUUGGGAUAUACCUUUUAAGAACAAUUUGUAUGAUCUGAUUUAUAAUUAUUUUUUUGAUCUGUUCUGUUAAAUAUUAAUUUUUUGUGACAUUUUUUCCUUUAAAUUUUGGUGAAAUCCAGAGACUUGGCUGAUAGUAUAUCGUUUUUUUUAACAGUUGAAGGGUUUGGCGACUACAGACAUCUCUGGGGAUACACCAGCUGGUCCUCUAGCUUAGGAAGUAAUUAGGUUUAGAUUUUUGUGGAUUCAGAUUUCAGAGCAAUUAUACUUGUGGAGUUUUGAUUGCCUAUGACAUUUCUUUAGUAAUGUAUGUCCUCUCAGUUUGUUUAAAAAUCAUAAGAUUAAUGUAGAUUUUACGUUCUUUCGAUGAUUUUUUUAUGAUUUUACAGUUUUCUAUAGGUCUUAAGGAAGUAAGAGGGAUUUAAAAACAAAAUUUGUUUGAGUCAAUGAACUUUUUUAUCCUGUUCUAGCCAUAAACGUUGAGAGAUUUAAAACUAAAAUAUCCAAUCUUAUUCCUUUCAAGAGUAGUGGGACUUGAAUACAACCAGUGUUGUGGAGUUGCUUACUAAAAUAUCCAAUCUUAUUCCUUUCAAGAGUAGUGGGACUUGAAUACAACCAGUGUUGUGGAGUUGAUUCCAAAAGGAAGCGCAUUUGUUUAGGGAUAUCAGUUUGCUCAUGCAACCAGAGGGUGAGAAUCAAAACUUCAACAUCGAGGCAGCCAAAUCCCCUUAGCACCGAUGCAGCAAUAGCACGGCACUGAGCUUCUACGUUUUCUUGUUAUUGUAACAAUUCACUGCGGAAAUUUCAGGAGCAAUUAUUAGAUUAUGCUACUGCAGAUGAGGCUUGCAUCAGAUAACACCUGCAAGCAUGAAGUUUCCUAUUUUUCAUCAAAAGGGUAUUAUUAUGAUUGCAUGGACCAAAUUUUCGUUUCUCUGUUACAAAUUUUAGUUUUUUCAUUACAGUAUUUGGCUGCUCAAGAUAAUUUUCAAUCUUAAUUUGUAUUCUACCAUCCAUACGUAUGUAGGCUUGGAAAAGUCUGAUACUUUUUAUCUUAGUUUCUGAUUAAGUUUUUGGUAGUCUGAGUAUCAACAUGAGGGUAUAGAUUUGUGUGUUGAUUUUCGUUAUUGGGUUACCACUUUUCAUAGAUGCUAUGGACCUUUCAGUGAAGUAUUCAAUUUUUCUUUCUUUUUCAGAUUUUUUGGGGGUGGUUGCUGUUUGCAUGGAUUUCAAGUGACUUUAAAUUUAACACCUGAAGGUUUUUGUGUCAACUAUUUCUGUUUAAUUUUUUAAGAGGUGAAGGAACUCUUGAAAAAGAAGAAUACAGAAUAGUUAGUUGAAAAUGGGGUUCAAGAGUAGAUACUGAUGAAAGUUCCAAAUGAGAAACUAGUAGAACAGGCUCAAGAUGACUGGUAGGGGAAUAAAACUUCUCAAAAUAAAAUCUUUCACCGGGCUGUAAAUUCCUUGUUGAUGUCAUCAAUUUGUGAUGGUGAAUAUUUAAUCUC